UAAUACGUAGGGUGCGAGCGUUAAUCGGAAUUACUGGGCGUAAAGCGUGCGCAGGCGGCUUUGUAAGACAGAUGUGAAAUCCCCGGGCUCAACCUGGGAACUGCAUUUGUGACUGCAAGGCUAGAGUGCGUCAGAGGGAGGUGGAAUUCCGCGUGUAGCAGUGAAAUGCGUAGAGAUGCGGAGGAACACCGAUGGCGAAGGCAGCCUCCUGGGAUGACACUGACGCUCAUGCACGAAAGCGUGGGGAGCAAACAGGAUUAGAUACCCUGGUAGUCCACGCCCUAAACGAUGUCAACUAGUUGUCGGGGAUUCAUUUCCUUGGUAACGCAGCUAACGCGUGAAGUUGACCGCCUGGGGAGUACGGCCGCAAGGUUAAAACUCAAAUGAAUUGACGG
rnacentral:rRNA from 2 species